AGAGUUUGAUCCUGGCUCAGGACGAACGCUGGCGGCACGCUUAACACAUGCAAGUCGAACGAGAGAAGAGAAGCUUGCUUUUCUGAUCUAGUGGCGGACGGGUGAGUAACACGUGAGCAAUCUGCCUUUCAGAGGGGGAUACCGAUUGGAAACGAUCGUUAAUACCGCAUAACAUAAUUGAACCGCAUGAUUUGAUUAUCAAAGAUUUAUCGCUGAAAGAUGAGCUCGCGUCUGAUUAGCUAGUUGGUAAGGUAACGGCUUACCAAGGCGACGAUCAGUAGCCGGACUGAGAGGUUGAUCGGCCACAUUGGGACUGAGACACGGCCCAGACUCCUACGGGAGGCAGCAGUGGGGAAUAUUGCACAAUGGAGGAAACUCUGAUGCAGCGAUGCCGCGUGAGGGAAGAAGGUUUUAGGAUUGUAAACCUCUGUCUUCAGGGACGAAAAAAAGACGGUACCUGAGGAGGAAGCUCCGGCUAACUACGUGCCAGCAGCCGCGGUAAUACGUAGGGAGCGAGCGUUGUCCGGAAUUACUGGGUGUAAAGGGAGCGUAGGCGGGAUCGCAAGUCAGAUGUGAAAACUAUGGGCUUAACCCAUAAACUGCAUUUGAAACUGUGGUUCUUGAGUGAAGUAGAGGUAAGCGGAAUUCCUAGUGUAGCGGUGAAAUGCGUAGAUAUUAGGAGGAACAUCAGUGGCGAAGGCGGCUUACUGGGCUUUAACUGACGCUGAGGCUCGAAAGCGUGGGGAGCAAACAGGAUUAGAUACCCUGGUAGUCCACGCCGUAAACGAUGAUUACUAGGUGUGGGGGGACUGACCCCUUCCGUGCCGCAGCAAACGCAAUAAGUAAUCCACCUGGGGAGUACGACCGCAAGGUUGAAACUCAAAGGAAUUGACGGGGGCCCGCACAAGCAGUGGAGUAUGUGGAUUAAUUCGAAGCAACGCGAAGAACCUUACCAGGUCUUGACAUCGUAUGCAUAGCUCAGAGAUGAGUGAAAUCUCUUCGGAGACAUAUAGACAGGUGGUGCAUGGUUGUCGUCAGCUCGUGUCGUGAGAUGUUGGGUUAAGUCCCGCAACGAGCGCAACCCUUACUGUUAGUUGCUACGCAAGAGCACUCUAGCAGGACUGCCGUUGACAAAACGGAGGAAGGUGGGGAUGACGUCAAAUCAUCAUGCCCCUUAUGACCUGGGCCUCACACGUACUACAAUGGCUGUCAACAGAGGGAAGCAAAGCCGCGAGGUGGAGCGAACCCCUAAAAGCAGUCUUAGUUCGGAUUGUAGGCUGCAACCCGCCUACAUGAAGUCGGAAUUGCUAGUAAUCGCAGAUCAGCAUGCUGCGGUGAAUACGUUCCCGGGCCUUGUACACACCGCCCGUCACGCCAUGGGAGUCGGUAACACCCGAAGCCUGUAGUCUAACCGCAAGGAGGACGCAGUCGAAGGUGGGAUUGAUGACUGGGGUGAAGUCGUAACAAGGUAGCCGUAUCGGAAGGUGCGGCUG
rnacentral:rRNA from 1 species